AUAAGUUAGGAUUAUUUAUGAAAUAUAUUGUUAAUAAAAUUAUAUUUUAAAUAUAAAAAGGAGAAUAUCUCGGGAGUAGUUUACACUAAUGAUUUAAUUAACAAAUCUUGUCCUUAAAGUUUAAAUAUUAAAGCAUGAGAUUGGGAAAUAAGAUAUUAUUUCAGUAGAGAAAAUACCAUCCUACUAUAGAUAUUUUAAAAAUAUAAUUGAUUAUCCAAUUUUGAUGUACAGUAGAGAAAAUAUCAUUCUAAGUGCACAUCUUUUGCAGGAUCGGAAUGGUAAACUCUUAUAGGUCUGAAAUAUGACCACUUCUCUCAAAUCAUCUCUGAAAAAAUAUAAAACAAAAUCACAAUCAGCAAACCAAAAAACAAAUAUGUGUAUAUAUAAGCCUAUAAUUCUAAACAAUAAUAUAAAUCUACAAAUCAAAAAAAAGAAAAAUAUUUGCA
rnacentral:lncRNA from 1 species